UGCCCACUGAUAAAAUAAAUUAAAGGGCUGCAGUAAUUUGACUGUACAAAGGUAGCAUAAUCAUUAGUCAUUUAAUUGAUGACUUGUAUGAAAGAUUGGAUGAGAUAUAAGCUGUCUUUAAUGUAAAUAUAGAAUUUAAUUUUUUAAUUAAAAAGUUAAAAUAAAUAAAAAAGACGAGAAGACCCUAUAGAGUUUUAUUAUUUUAUGAAUAGUUAAUAUUUGUAAAUUUAAUAUUUUUAAAAAAUUUAUAAAAUAAUUUUAUUGGGGUGAUGGAAAAAUUUAAUUAACUUUUUUUUUUAAAAAACAUAAAUAAAUGAUUUUAUGAUCCAAUAUUAUUGAUUAUAAGAAAAAAUUACCUUAGGGAUAACAGCGUAAUUUUUUUUUUUAGUUCAUAUAAAAAAAAGAGUUUGCGACCUCGAUGUUGGAUUAAGAUAAAAUUUAAAUGUAGAAGUUUAAAGUUUUGA
rnacentral:rRNA from 1 species